UACGUAGGGGGCUAGCGUUGUCCGGAAUCAUUGGGCGUAAAGCGCGUGUAGGCGGUCCGGUAAGUCCGCUGUGAAAGUCGAGGGCUCAACCCUCGAGUGCCGGUGGAUACUGUCGGGCUAGAGUGCGGAAGAGGCGAGUGGAAUUCCUGGUGUAGCGGUGAAAUGCGCAGAUAUCAGGAGGAACACCUAUUGCGAAGGCAGCUCGCUGGGACGCAACUGACGCUGAGACGCGAAAGCGUGGGGAGCAAACAGG
rnacentral:rRNA from 1 species